rnacentral:misc_RNA from 1 species
UUUCCGUAGGUGAACCUGCGGAAGGAUCAUUGUCGAAUCCUGCAGUAGCAGAACGACCCGUUAACACGUAAGCACAUCGGGCAAGGGUCGGGGGGCCUUGGUUCCCUGUACGCGAACCCUCGGUAGGUUGUCCCUCUCGUGGGGCCGCCGACCAAUGAAAUCAUCCGGGCGCGGAAUGCGCCAAGGAACUGAGAACCGAAUUGCACGUUUGCUUCUUGUUACCAUGGGGCGACGUCAUUCCAAAACAAAACGACUCUCGACAACGGAUAUCCCGGCUCUCGCAUCGAUGAAGAACGUAGCGAAAUGCGAUACUUGGUGUGAAUUGCAGAAUCCCGUGAACCAUCGAGUCUUUGAACGCAAGUUGCGCCCGAAGCCACUAGGCCAAGGGCACGUCUGCCUGGGUGUCACGCAUCGACAUGCCCCCAACCACUUUCUCCUAAGGAGCAAGCUUGUUUGGGGGCGGAAGUUGGCCUCCCGUGCCUCGUUGCGUGGAUGGCACAAAAGUGAGUCUUAGGCGACGGACGUCGUGACAUCGGUGGUUGUAAAAGACCCUCUUGUCUUGUUGCGCGAUCUGUUAGCUCGAAGAUCUCUAGGACCCUUAGGCGACACACACUGUGUGCGCUCCGAAUGUGACCCCAGGUCAGGCGGGACUACCCGCUGAGUUUAA